CCCCUAGAUGUUCUGGGCCGCACGCGCGCUACACUGAACAGUUCAACAAGUCUUAACCUUGGCCGAUAGGUCUGGGUAAUCUUUGAACGCUGUUCGUGAUUGGGAUAGACCUUUGCAAUUCUGGGUCUUCAACGAGGAAUUCCUAGUAAACGCAAGUCAUCAGCUUGCAUUGAUUACGUCCCUGCCCUUUGUACACACCGCCCGUCGCACCUACCGAUUGAAUGGUCCGGUGAAAUCUCGGGACGGCGGCUUGGUCGCUUGCGUCCGACUGCUGAAACUUGAUUAAACCAUAUCAUUUAGAGGAAGGUGAAGUCGUAACA
rnacentral:rRNA from 1 species